UUGAACGCUGGCGGCAGGCCUAACACAUGCAAGUCGAACGGUAACAGGAAGCAGCUUGCUGCUUCGCUGACGAGUGGCGGACGGGUGAGUAAUGUCUGGGAAGCUGCCUGAUGGAGGGGGAUAACUACUGGAAACGGUAGCUAAUACCGCAUAAUGUCGCAAGACCAAAGAGGGGGACCUUCGGGCCUCUUGCCAUCGGAUGUGCCCAGAUGGGAUUAGCUUGUUGGUGGGGUAACGGCUCACCAAGGCGACGAUCCCUAGCUGGUCUGAGAGGAUGACCAGCCACACUGGAACUGAGACACGGUCCAGACUCCUACGGGAGGCAGCAGUGGGGAUUAUUGCACAAUGGGCGCAAGCCUGAUGCAGCCAUGCCGCGUGUAUGAAGAAGGCCUUCGGGUUGUAAAGUACUUUCAGCGGGGAGGAAGGGAGUAAAGUUAAUACCUUUGCUCAUUGACGUUACCCGCAGAAGAAGCACCGGCUAACUCCGUG
rnacentral:rRNA from 1 species